GACGAACGCUGGCGGCGUGCUUAACACAUGCAAGUCGAACGAUGAAGCUAGAGCUUGCUCUGGUGAAUUAGUGGCGAACGGGUGAGUAACACGUGAGUAACCUGCCCCGAACUCUGGGAUAACUGCUGGAAACGGUAGCUAAUACUGGAUACGACCUACGAAGGCAUUUUCUGUAGGUGGAAAAGAAUUUCGGUUCGGGAUGGACUCGCGGCCUAUCAGCUUGUUGGUGAGGUAAUGGCUCACCAAGGCGACGACGGGUAGCCGGCCUGAGAGGGUGACCGGCCACACUGGGACUGAGACACGGCCCAGACUCCUACGGGAGGCAGCAGUGGGGAAUAUUGCACAAUGGGCGCAAGCCUGAUGCAGCAACGCCGCGUGAGGGAUGACGGCC
rnacentral:rRNA from 1 species